UGCUGCUGUUUCUCUACAUAUGUGUACUCACUUGUGGGAAAUCAUAAACUUUCUUUGUAUCGUUGAUAUCCAAAUCAAUGCGUUGAAGAGAUUUUAAGAAGCUAUUUGUGUGAACGACAGAUCGUUUGAUAGCUGAU